rnacentral:rRNA from 1 species
AUUGAACGCUGGCGGCAGGCCUAACACAUGCAAGUCGAGCGAGCGGCGGACGGGUGAGUAAUGUCUGGGAAACUGCCUGAUGGAGGGGGAUAACUACCGGAAACGGAAGCUAAUUCCGCAUACCAUCAGAUGGUCCUAUAUGGGAUUAGUUAGUAGGUGGGGGAACGCCUCACCUAGGCGACGCUCCCUAGCUGGUCUGAGAGGGUGAACAGCCACACUGGAACUGAGACACGGUCCAGACUCCUACGGGAGGCAGCAGUGGGGAAUAUUGCACAAUGGGCGCAAGCCUGAUGCAGCCAUGCCGCGUGUGUGAAGAAGGCCUUCGGGUUGUAAAGCACUUUCAGCGGGGAGGCGUUACCCGCAGAAGAAGCACCGGCUAACUCCGUGCCAGCCGCCGCGGUAAUUC